rnacentral:miRNA from 1 species
GCAGACACAUUCCAGCCAAUCAGCAGCAGACCCUCCCUCCCAGACCCUCCCACCUCCUGGACAGCAUCCAUUUUGAAGCUGCAUCCUUAGUGAGCUGUCCAGGAGGUGGGAGGGUCUGGGAGAGAGGGUCUGCUGCUGAUUGGCUGGAAUGUGUCUG